rnacentral:rRNA from 1 species
UACGGGGGGGGCAAGCGUUGUUCGGAAUUACUGGGCGUAAAGGGCUCGUAGGCGGCCAACUAAGUCAGACGUGAAAUCCCUCGGCUUAACCGGGGAACUGCGUCUGAUACUGGAUGGCUUGAGUUCGGGAGAGGGAUGCGGAAUUCCAGGUGUAGCGGUGAAAUGCGCAGAUAUCAGGAGGAACACCGAUGGCGAAGGCAGGUCUCUGGGCCACUACUGACGCUGAGAAGCGAAAGCAUGGGGGGCGAACAGG